CCUACGGGAGGCAGCAGUGGGGAAUAUUGGACAAUGGCCGGAACGCUGAUGCAGCGAAGUCGCGUGAGUGAAGAAGGAUCUAUGUUUUGUAAGCUUCAUUUAUAGGGGAAUAAAGGUGUCCACGUGUGGAUAUUUGCAUGUACCCUAUGAAUAAGCGUCGGCUAACUCCGUGCCAGCAGCCGCGGUAAUACGGAGGAUGCGAUCGUUAGACGGAUUUAGUUGGUUUAAAGGGUGCGUAGGUUGUUUUUUAAGUCAGCGGUGAAAGUUUGUGGCUCAACCAUAAAAUUGCUGUUGAAACUGGAAGACUUGAGUGUGUUUGAGGUAGGCGGAAUGCGUGGUGUAGCGGUGAAAUGCAUAGAUAGCACGAAGAACUCCGAUUGCGAAGGCAGCUUACUAAGCCAUAACUGACACUGAAGCACGAAAGCGUGGGGAUCAAACAGGAUUAGAUACCCGGGUAGUC
rnacentral:rRNA from 1 species